ensembl:snRNA U2 U2 spliceosomal RNA
AGCACUUCUGGGCCUUUUGGCUAGGUUAAGUGUAGUAUCCAUUCUUAGCAUUUUAAUAUCUGAUAUAUCCUCUAUCCAAGGACAAGUUAUUAAAUGCAUUUGGAUUAGGGAGAUGAAAUAGGAGCUUAUUCCAUCCAUCCCCCUGGUAUUGCAGUACCUCCAGGAACAGAGUAACCCCU